AUUGAACGCUGGCGGCAUGCCUUACACAUGCAAGUCGAACGGUAACAGGUCUUCGGAUGCUGACGAGUGGCGAACGGGUGAGUAAUACAUCGGAACGUGCCCGAUCGUGGGGGAUAACGGAGCGAAAGCUUUGCUAAUACCGCAUACGAUCUACGGAUGAAAGCAGGAGACCGCAAGGCCUUGCGCGGACGGAGCGGCCGGUGGCAGAUUAGGUAGUUGGUGGGAUAAAAGCUUACCAAGCCGACGAUCUGUAGCUGGUCUGAGAGGACGACCAGCCACACUGGGACUGAGACACGGCCCAGACUCCUACGGGAGGCAGCAGUGGGGAAUUUUGGACAAUGGGCGCAAGCCUGAUCCAGCCAUGCCGCGUGCAGGAUGAAGGCCUUCGGGUUGUAAACUGCUUUUGUACGGAACGAAACGGCUCUUUCUAAUAAAGAGGGCUAAUGACGGUACCGUAAGAAUAAGCACCGGCUAACUACGUGCCAGCAGCCGCCGUAAUAC
rnacentral:rRNA from 1 species